rnacentral:rRNA from 1 species
UACAGAGGUCCCCAAGCGUUGUUCGGAUUCACUGGGCGUAAAGGGUGCGUAGGCGGUGGGAUAAGUCUGGUGUGAAAGCUCGGAGCUCAACUCCGAAAUUGCAUUGGAAACUAUCUCACUAGAGGAUUGGAGGGGAGACUGGAAUUCUCAGUGUAGCAGUGAAAUGCGUAGAUAUUGAGAGGAACACCAGUAGCGAAGGCGAGUCUCUGGACAAUUCCUGACGCUGAGGCACGAAA